rnacentral:lncRNA from 1 species
UAAAGGGAGGAUGAAGCAGAACACGUGGGGAACUCCAGCUAAUAGAGAAUGCAACAGCACGUCUGCACAGCAGCACUGAAACCAGGAGUGCAUUAAGCCUGUCCUUUGCUCUUCGCAAUUGCUUCCCACAGAAUAUCAAAUCAAACUGAAGGUUUCGGCACUUAACUUCAGUGUUUAGAUAACCAAAGCUAUAUCCAGAGUGGAGAACAUCAGAGCUUCCAUGCCUAGUCAUACCGUGUCUUCACAUGAGGGUAAAAAAUUCUGGAACCAGAAUUGAGAAUUCAUCAACUGACUUCAAAAUUGGACUAGAAAUGUCUUGGGCAGAUGCAGGCAACUGGAAGUGGAUUUUGGUUUAAGUAGAUAAGAAGCAGUAAUUUGGCAAAACAUCACCCCAUCAGCCAACAAGUAAGCAACAAUUUGAACAAAUUGCUCUCCAGUUUAUCAUAUUUGAAUUACGAACAACUACAAAAGAAGAAAAUUAGAUGAUUAGAAGUAAGGAUCUUUUCUUUCC